rnacentral:rRNA from 1 species
AUGGAUCGCGGGGGGAGCGCGGGACCCGGCGCCGUCGGUAGCGCCGGCAGCCUCGGCCUCCGGAUCGGGCAGGCCGCCUGCUCGUCGGCGGCGCUCAUGUUCAUGUCCGUCGGCGUCGAGUUCUUCAGCUACACUGCCUUCUGCUUCCUGGUUACGAUCAUGGGCCUGCUGGUCCCGUGGAGCUGCACGCUCGCCAUGAUCGACAUGUACUCCAUACUCGUCGGGUGCCCGCUCCACGUGCCCGGUGUCAUGGCCAUCGUCGUCGUCGGAGACUGGGUGCUGUCGAUACUGUCGCUGGCGGCCGCGAGCUCGAGCGCCGCCGUCAUCGACGUCCUCCUGGAGUUCCACGGAUCCCACUGCGCCCCGAGGCUGUGCGAGAGGUACCAGCUCUCUGCCAUGAUGGCGUUCCUGUCCUGGCUCCUCACGGCCGCGUCCUCCCUCUUCAACCUGUGGUACAUCGCCUCCAGGUGA